CAGCCUGAUGCAGCGACGCCGCGUGAGGGAUGACGGCCUUCGGGUUGUAAACCUCUUUCAGCAGGGACGAAGCGCAAGUGACGGUACCUGUAGAAGAAGGACCGGCCAACUACGUGCCAGCAGCCGCGGUAAUACGUAGGGUCCGAGCGUUGUCCGGAAUUACUGGGCGUAAAGAGCUCGUAGGUGGUUUGUCGCGUUGUUCGUGAAAACUCACAGCUUAACUGUGGGCGUGCGGGCGAUACGGGCAGACUUGAGUACUGCAGGGGAGACUGGAAUUCCUGGUGUAGCGGUGGAAUGCGCAGAUAUCAGGAGGAACACCGGUGGCGAAGGCGGGUCUCUGGGCAGUAACUGACGCUGAGGAGCGAAAGCGUGGGGAGCGAACAGGAUUAGAUACCCUGGUAGUCCACGCCGUAAACGGUGGGUACUAGGUGUGGGUUUCCUUCCUUGGGAUCCGUGCCGUAGCUAACGCAUUAAGUACCCCGCCUGGGGAGUACGGCCGCAAGGCUAAAACUCAAAGAAAUUGACGGGGGCCCGCACAAGCGGCGGAGCAUGUGGAUUAAUUCGAUGCAACGCGAAGAACCUUACCUGGGUUUGACAUGCACAGGACGUGCCUAGAGAUAGGUAUUCCCUUGUGGCCUG
rnacentral:rRNA from 1 species